CCUACGGGUGGCAGCAGUGGGGAAUAUUGCACAAUGGGGGAAACCCUGAUGCAGCGACGCCGCGUGAGUGAAGAAGUAUUUCGGUAUGUAAAGCUCUAUCAGCAGGGAAGAAAAUGACGGUACCUGAUUAAGAAGCCCCGGCUCACUACGUGCCAGCAGCCGCGGUAAUACGUAGGCGGCAAGCGUUAUACGGAUUUACUGGGUGUAAAGGGGGCGUAGACGGCAGCACAAGGCUGGAGUGAAAUGCCGGGGCUGAACCCCGGAACUGCUUUGGAAACUGUGGAGCUAGAGUGCGGGAGAGGUAAGUGGAAUGCCUAGUGUAGCGGUGAAAUGCGUAGAUAUUAGGAGGAACACCAGUGGCGAAGGCGGCUUACUGGACUGUAACUGACGUUGAGGCUCGAAAGCGUGGGGAGCAAACAGGAUUAGAUACCCGAGUAGUC
rnacentral:rRNA from 1 species